AAUUGUAUAUUUCCCCUUAAAAACACCCUUAAUUGCAUAUUUACCCAAGCCUAAAUAAAAAUUGCAUAUUUCCCCUUCUCUAUUAAAAUGACAAAACUACCCUUCUCAUAAUUAAAAGAUCUUGCUUAGAGAAAAAUCAGGUUCAUAAUUAUCAUUCUAGAUUCACACGCAUGACUUUUCAGUUCUUCUACGGCGACGAUUCCAGGCGGCUCCUUCUCGCAACUGGCCGGCGUUUCUUCUAAGACGUCUCUGAAUAUUUAAGAAUAGAUUGCUAGUAAUGUAUACGAGAGUCCCAACGGGACUAGGCAUUGGACACCAAUUCUGUCACCCGGUCUCAAACCAGUUAUCAAGGCGCAUGUAGGCUGGAGGUCAUGUAAUAUAUUUUUAUUGAGUUAGGGUAGUUGAAUCUCAAUUAUUGUCAUUGGAGGUCAUGUAGGCUGCACGACGCACAGAGCAGUGGCGUCGGCUGCAAGACGCACGAGCAGCGGCUUCGGCUGCAUGACACACGAGCAACGGCUUCGGCUGCACGACGCACGCAGCAGCAGCGUCGGCUUCACGACGCACACAACAACGACGUCGGUUGUAUGGCGGACCAGCAAUGGCGCCGGCUACACAAACUCAUAAAGUUUUUAUAUAUCUCUAGAUCAAAUCUAAGAUAAGCUUCUCGGCACGUCAUCUUUUGUUUCCACUUUUGAUAUCUGUUUGUACCAUAACUCGUGUUUCAAUUAAACAGCCUUUUGUGC